AGCUCAGUUGGUAGAGCAUCUCGUUUACACCGAGGGGGUCAAAGGUUUUUUUCCCUUGCUAAUCCUAUC
rnacentral:tRNA from 1 species